AUUGCUUUUCUGCCUUUUGGCCAAGAUCAAGUAUAGUAUGUGUUCUUAGCAGUUUAAUAUCUGAUAUAUCCUCUAUCUGAGGACAAAAAUAUUAAAUGGAUUUUUGGAGCAGGGAGAUGGAAUAGGAUCUUGCUCCAUCUACUCCACACAUCAAUCUGGUAUUGCAGUACCUCCAGGAAUGGGGCACCCCCU
ensembl:snRNA U2 U2 spliceosomal RNA